rnacentral:rRNA from 1 species
GCAUUAGUCUUUUGUGAUACAUUUUCAAUGAGUCAGGUUGUUUGGGAAUGCAGCCUAAAUUGGGAGGUAAAUCUCUCCUAAAGCUAAAUAUUUGCGAGAAACCGAUAGCGAACAAGUACCGUGAGGGAAAGAUGAAAAGAACUUUGAAAAGAGAGUUAAACAGUAUGUGAAAUUGUUAAAAGGGAACCGUUUGGAGCCAGUCUGGCUUUCCUAUAAUCAAUCUAGGCUUCGGCCUUGAUGCACUUGUAGGUUAUCGCCGGCCAACGACAAUUGGGAUCGCGAGGGAAAAAACCUUUGGAAAUGUAGCCAUUCUGCAAAGUUUGGUGUUAUAGUCCUUGGGAAAAUACCUUGUGCUCGAUUGAGGAUCGCAGUGAAUGCCUUUCGGGGCAGGAUGUGGUGAGGUAGGUUUGCUUGACCUAAGGUGACUUUCGGGUUGCUUUAGCGAUGGCUUACUCCUUGCUUCUAUCUUUAUUCGCU